AUUGAACGCUGGCGGCAGGCUUAACACAUGCAAGUCGAGCGGAGAUGAGGUGCUUGCACCUUAUCUUAGCGGCGGACGGGUGAGUAAUGCUUAGGAAUCUGCCUAUUAGUGGGGGACAACAUUCCGAAAGGAAUGCUAAUACCGCAUACGUCCUACGGGAGAAAGCAGGGGAUCUUCGGACCUUGCGCUAAUAGAUGAGCCUAAGUCGGAUUAGCGAGUUGGUGGGGUAAAGGCCUACCAAGGCGACGAUCUGUAGCGGGUCUGGUAGGAGGAUCCGCCACACUGGGACUGAGACACGGCCCAGCCUCCUACGGGAGGCAGCAGUGGGUAAUAUUGGACAAAGGGGGGAACCCUGAACCAGCCAUGCCGCGUGUGUGAAGAAGGCCUUAUGGUUGUAAAGCACGUUAAGCGAGGAGGAGGCUACUGAGACUAAUACUCUUGGAUAGUGGACGUUACUCGCAGAAUAAGCACCGGCUAACUCUGUGCCAGCCGCCGCGGUAAAAC
rnacentral:rRNA from 1 species